UCCCUGGUCCAGUGGCUAAGGUUCUGUACUUCCAAUGCAGGGGGCCCAGGUUCAAUUCCUGGUUGGGGAA
rnacentral:tRNA from 1 species